rnacentral:rRNA from 1 species
UGGGGAAUUUUGCACAAUGGGGGCAACCCUGAUGCAGCGACGCCGCGUGAUUUAGAAGGCCUUCGGGUUGUAAAAAUCUUUUGUAUGGGAAGAAAAUGACAGUACCAUACGAAUAAGGACCGGCUAAUUACGUGCCAGCAGCCGCGGUAAUACGUAAGGUCCGAGCGUUGUCCGGAAUCAUUGGGCGUAAAGGGUACGUAGGCGGAUAAGCAAGUUAGAAGUGAAAUCCUAUAGCUCAACUAUAGUAAGCUUUUAAAACUGCUCAUCUUGAGGUAUGGAAGGGAAAGUGGAAUUCCUAGUGUAGCGGUGAAAUGCGCAGAUAUUAGGAGGAAUACCGGUGGCGAAGGCGACUUUCUGGCCAUAAACUGACGCUGAGGUACGAAAGCGUGGGUAGCAAACA